CUUACCGGGACCGACAGCAGAGUGAAGGCCAGAUUGAAGGUCUUGCUAGACGAGCUGAGAGGAGGUGCAUGGCCGUCGCCAGUUCGUGCCGUGAGGUGUCCUCUUAAGUGAGGUAACGAACGAGACCCGUACCCCAUGUUGCCACCAGGGCCUAAAGGGCCGCUGGGCACUCUUGGGGGACCGCUGCCGACAAGGCUGAGGAAGGUGCGGGCAACGGCAGGUCAGUAUGCCCCGAAUGUCUCGGGCCACACGCGGGCUGCAAUGGUAGGGACAGAGGGCUGCAACACCGAGAGGUGGAGCCAAUCCCUAAACCCUACCUCAGUUGGGAUCGAGGGCUGCAACCCGCCCUCGUGAACAUGGAAUGCCUAGUAACCGCGCGUCAUCAUCGCGCAGUGAAUACGUCCCUGCUCCUUGC
rnacentral:rRNA from 1 species